rnacentral:rRNA from 1 species
UACGUAGGGGGUGAGCGUUGUCCGGAUUUAUUGGGCGUAAAGGGCGCGUAGGCGGUUUCUUAAGUUUGAAGUGACAGUGGGUGGCUUAACUACCCAAGGCCUUUGAAAACUGGGGAACUUGAGGACCAGAGAGGGACAUAGAAUUCCGGGUGGAGUGGUGAAAUGCGUAGAUAUCCGGAGGAAUACCAAAGGCGAAGGCAGUGUCCUGGAGGGUGACUGACGCUGAGGCGCGAAAGCUAGGGGAGCGAACAGG